GACGAACGCUGGCGGCGUGCCUAAUACAUGCAAGUCGAGCGAAGUUUUUUUGGUGCUUGCACUAGAAAAACUUAGCGGCGAACGGGUGAGUAACACGUAAAGAACCUGCCUCAUAGACUGGGACAACUAUUGGAAACGAUAGCUAAUACCGGAUAACAGCAUUAACUGCAUGGUUGAUGUUUAAAAGUUGGUUUUGCUAACACUAUGAGAUGGCUUUGCGGUGCAUUAGCUAGUUGGUGGGGUAAAGGCCUACCAAGGCGACGAUGCAUAGCCGACCUGAGAGGGUGAUCGGCCACACUGGGACUGAGACACGGCCCAGACUCCUACGGGAGGCAGCAGUAGGGAAUCUUCCGCAAUGGGCGAAAGCCUGACGGAGCAACGCCGCGUGAGUGAAGAAGGAUUUCGGUUCGUAAAGCUCUGUUGUUAGGGAAGAAUGAUUGUGUAGUAGCUAUACACAGUAGAGACG
rnacentral:rRNA from 1 species